rnacentral:ncRNA from 1 species
UCCAUUGCGAGAUGGAAUCUGAAGGAAUCUGAAGGCGAAAAUUUGACGUGACGAACAGAAACCUGAUACAAGGCCUGUCCAGAGGGGUUAUUGUCCCAUGAAUCAAAAAGCCCGAAGUUGAACCUGUUCGUCAAAAAGACAUCCGUAAACCCGACGGUGGCACA